rnacentral:rRNA from 1 species
GAUGAACGCUAGCGACAGGCUUAACACAUGCAAGUCGAGGGGUAGAAGGCUUCGGCCUUUGAGACCGGCGCACGGGUGCGAAACGCGUAUACAAUCUACCUAUUACAGGGGGAUAGCCCAGAGAAAUUUGGAUUAAUACCCCAUAGUAUUAUAGAGUGGCAUCAUUUUAUAAUUAAAGUUGAGGCGGUAAUAGAUGAGUAUGCGUCCUAUUAGCUAGUUGGUGAGGUAACGGCUCACCAAGGCUACGAUAGGUAGGGGUCCUGAGAGGGAGAUCCCCCACACUGGUACUGAGACACGGACCAGACUCCUACGGGAGGCAGCAGUGAGGAAUAUUGGUCAAUGGACGUAAGUCUGAACCAGCCAUGUCGCGUGCAGGAAGACGGCCUUAUGGGUUGUAAACUGCUUUUCUAUAGGGAGAAACCCCCGGUCGUGAUCGGGGCUGACGGUACUAUAGGAAUAAACACCGGCUAACUCCGUGCCAGCAGCCGCGGUAAUACGGAGGGUGUAAGCGUUAUCCGGAAUCAUUGGGUUUAAAGGGUCCGUAGGCGGACUAAUAAGUCAGAGGUGAAAUCCCACAGCUUAACUGUGGAACUGCCUUUGAUACUGUUAGUCUUGAGUUAUAUUGAAGUAGAUGGAAUGUGUAGUGUAGCGGUGAAAUGCAUAGAUAUUACACAGAACACCGAUUGCGAAAGGCAGUCUACUAAGUAUAUACUGACGCUGAGGGACGAAAGCGUGGGGAUCAAACAGGAUUAGAUACCCUGGUAGUCCACGCCGUAAACGAUGGAAUACUAGCUGUUGGAUCGUGAGGUUCAGUGGCUAAGCAAAAGUGAUAAGUAUCCCACCUGGGGAGUACGUUCGCAGAAUGAAACUCAAAGGAAUUGACGGG